UGCAUGAUGCCUGGAGUUACUGUGACAGAUGUGAACCAGCAGAAGUUCCUCAGAGCUCUGGCAGCCUUUCUCGAAAAGUCCGGGAAGCUGAAAGUCCCUGAAUGGGUGGACACCGUCAAAGAGCUUACUCCCUACGAUGAAAACUGGUUCUACACGCAAGCUGCUUCCACAGCGCGGCACCUGUACCUCUGGGAUGGCACUGGCGUUGGCUCCAUGACCAAGAUCUAUGGGGGACGUCAGAGAAACGGUGUCAUGCCCAGCCCCUUCAGCCGAGGCUCCAAGAGUGUGGCCCGCCUGGUCCUCCAAGCCCUGGAGGGGCUGAAAAUGGCAGAAAAGGACCAAGAUGGGGGCUGCAAACUGACACCUCAGGGACAGAGAUCUGGACAGAAUCGCCGGACAGGUGGCAGCUACCAACAAGAAGCAUUUAGAACAAACCAUGCUGGAUUAAUAAAUUGCCUCAUUC